GGGGAGUACGGUCGCAAGAUUAAAACUCAAAUGAAUUGACGGGGGCCCGCACAAGCGGUGGAGCAUGUGGUUUAAUUCGAUGCAACGCGAAGAACCUUACCUACUCUUGACAUCCAGAGAAGCCAGNGGAGACNCAGGUGUGCCUUCGGGAGCUCUGAGACAGGUGCUGCAUGGCUGUCGUCAGCUCGUGUUGUGAAAUGUUGGGUUAAGUCCCGCAACGAGCGCAACCCUUAUCCUUGUUUGCCAGCGAGUAAUGUCGGGAACUCCAGGGAGACUGCCGGUGAUAAUCCGGAGGAAGGUGGGGACGACGUCAAGUCAUCAUGGCCCUUACGAGUAGGGCUACACACGUGCUACAAUGGCGCAUACAGAGGGCAGCAAGCUAGCGAUAGUGAGCGAAUCCCAAAAAGUGCGUCGUAGUCCGGAUUGGAGUCUGCAACUCGACUCCAUGAAGUCGGAAUCGCUAGUAAUCGUGAAUCAGAAUGUCAGCGGUGAAUACGUUCCCGGGCCUUGUACACACCGUCCCGUCACACCAUGGGAGUGGGCUGCAAAAGAAGUGGG
rnacentral:rRNA from 1 species